rnacentral:piRNA from 1 species
UUAUAAGAAGCAACAGGAAGAUACCAGUAAC